rnacentral:misc_RNA from 1 species
AACGCACAUUGCGCCCCUUGGCAUUCCGGGGGGCAUGCCUGUUCGAGCGUCAUUAAAACCUUCAAGCACCGCUUGGUAUUAGGCCGCCGUCCGCCCCUCGCCGGGCGGGCCGGUCUCAAAUGCCUCGGCGGAGUCGAGCGGGCUCCGGGCGUGGUAGAGCACAUCGCGACGCCCAACGGAGCCCUUCGGCCCCCGCCGACGGAAACCUCUCUCACUGGUUGACCUCGGAUCAGGUAGGAAUACCCGCUGAACUUAA